CUCCAGAUGAAGGCAUGGCAUGCUCUUGCAAGAGCUUUGUCUGAGAAGGAGAGCAGAGAGAUAAGUUAGCAAUCAGAAGAAAGCAGGAGGUAGAGGUCAACAUAUGAAACUUGAGAAGAUUGAAAUGCUGCUGGUGAGGAAGAACGGAAGAAAGAAAGGGUCGAAAAUACCAUGGAUCUUCACUGUUAUUAGAUUCUGUAUUUGCCAAUUCUCCUACUUGUAAAUCCACACAUAACGCAAAAAGCAACACUUGAAGCGUCUUCAGGGUCAUUCCUGGACAUGUAUGUGCUCAGAGCAGCAAAUAAUAUGAGUCUCCCUUAUUUGCAUAUUCCCAGCUGAGGUUGAACAAGUGAUGCUCUGCCUUCUCACUUAAGCUUUCAUGCUGUAAAUAAGCAUCCUUUCUCAUGAUUUAUUGAGUACUGUGUUUUUCACAUUUUGUGCUUUUUAUUGAUUAUGUCACUGUUUAAAUAAUGAACCAGACUAGUAUCCAUGAGGAUGUGGGUUUAUAAUCCCUGGCCACACUCAGUGGGUUAACUCUCCAGUGUUGCCAUGAGCUGUGGUGUAGGUUGCAGUCAUGGCUCAGAUCCUGAGUUGCUGUGGCUGUGGCGUGGGCCAGCAGCUGCAGCUCCGAUUCAACCCCUAGCCUGGGAACUUCCACAUGCCACAGGUGCGGCCCUGAAAAGGAAAAAAAAAAAAAAAAAGUCUGUGAUGUGCCUUAUGGAAAAAAUAUAUGUGUUAAAUAAGCUUUUCUCAAGCUUGACAUUCAGUGGUCAUGGUGACUUUAUGUCCGUAAGUGUUGUGACUAAUGAAAGGUGACUCUCAGAGAAGGAGAUAGAGAGGUCUCCGAAGUGGACUUGGGGGGCAAGUUUUAGGUAAUGGAAUGGUCCCCUCGAGGUGCUGAUCUUGUCAUCCAGUAAGUUUGUUAGACCAAAACAUUCCUUUCAAAUAAAAACCCAGGGAGAGAGUUGUCAACUGGGCUUUGCCCUGAAUAAGCAGUCCUGGUAUGUGAAGAGUGGAAGGAUGGAUGGGGAGCAGGAGGGAAGUGAUAUCAGUCAACAGACAUUGAAACUGAGAGGUGGGGAGAGAGACGAGGUCUGAUUUUGUUGUUCUCUCUCUACCUUGUGCAUCUUAGCAAGCUCAAGGUUAUCAAGUUAAAAAUCCUUUUCUGAGGAUUUCCCAGGGAGUCUCACAUUUUCCCUUCCUGCCUCUUCUGGUGACCCCAAGCUUUGUUCUGACCCCUGUUCUAGAACAGUACUGUGUAGUCUUUACUUUGCCCCUACCUGGAUUGGGGAGGAAGUUAACUGCAGACAGUGGAGACUCAGCAUUACACAGUUGUUUUAGUAACCCAUUCCAGCAGUUGAAAGCAUUGGAAAACUACUCUAAAAACAUUGCAACAACAACAAAACAGAAAAAAAACAAAAGCAAAAACAGCUUAGCAACCAAGCAUAUAUUCUGUGGGAAACACUAAGAGCCUUGCCCUUCCCAGCGGCCGUAUCCUGUGUUACAAGAGAAAGGCUUCUCUAACUGCUCCCAAAGGGAGGUGAACAUAAAGGGAAAAAAAACACUUUGUGUGGAAUGGUGUUGUGCACAUUUUGAAGAUAAGAAUAGAACUUCAGACCUGAGUAAGACAAGUUCUCAAAUAUUAAGCAUCCUUGCUAAGGCCAGGCACAGUUAUAAUGAAGUUCUAGUACUGAGGGGACACUGACACCUGAUAGAUUUUUUUCCAUGUCAGAUCAUAAAAGGCAGAUGCCUUCUGUUGGCAAGUAUAGGAAAUCACACUUAACAUCCCCACUAGUGUGGUUUAUGAUUAUCAGAGAGGAUGGAGCCAAGCUCACUUUUAUGCUGUGUAAAACUUUUCUUAGAUUGGCAGCGUAAACAAGUUCAAUUUACCAAAGCACUUCUUUGGGGGGGAAGAUUAUACAUUUAUUUAUUUAUUUAUUUAUUUAUUUAUUUAUUUUAGGGCCACACCUGCAGCAUAUGGAAGUUCCCAGGGUAGGCGUCGAAUCGUCGCUGCACCUGCCGGCCUACACCACAGCCACAGCAGUGCCAGAUCUGAGCUGUGUCUGCAACCUACACCACAGCUCACAGCAGUGCCAGCUCCUUAACCCACUGAGCAAGGGCCAGGAAUCGAACCCACAUCCUUGUGGAUACUGGUCAGAUUUGUCACAACAGGAAUUCCUAGAAUUUAAUAGAUGAGUGACACUAAGGAAACUUUUUGAUCUUUUUAAAAAUGAACAGGCUUUAUGUUUAGAGCAAUUUUAGGUUUACAGAAAUACUGAGUAGAAGGUAAAGUGUUCCCCUAUCCCCCUUCUCCCUGCCAUCAGAUGCAGUUGCCCCUGCUAUUAGCAUCUCGCAUGUCCAAAUCUGGUACAUUUACAACUGUCAAACUGAUACUGAUACCGUAUUAUUAACCAGGGUCCGUAGUUUACAUUGGGAUUCAUUCUUUGUGUACAAAAUGUACUUUUACUAUGUUCUAGAAGCAGAGACAUCAGAAUCAUAAAGCUAACCAUUUAUAGUGGCAUUUCCACAUCACAGUGCCUGUCACUUAAAGAAAAGGAGCUGAGGUUCAGAGGAGGUUCUCAGACGCCAGCCUUAGCCCCAUGUCUUCCUUAAAUUCAGGUUUAUGGUUCUAAGCAGAGGAUGAAGUGGCACACUGCUAGUGUAUUCACUGAGGGAAAAAACUGUGCCCAGGUGAACAAGAUGACACUCGGGCAAAUGCUUGGCGAAUUCGUCUUUGGGGCUUGAGUAUUUAGGGUCCAUACUUGCUGCUCAUGUAUGUGUUUCUUCCUCUAUACUGGAAGCCUUAGGAGAAAAGGAACCAUGUCUAUCUUGUUUACUAUUGUCUCUUUGUUGUUUAUAUACUACCUGGAAUAUAACAAUAAUACUCGGAUAUUAAGCUAAAGAAUGGAAGGGUUAAUGAAAGGAUGUGUGUUAAUCAGGGUUUGCAGGAGAAGUGGAACCACUUUGUGUGUGUGUGUGUGUGUGUGUGUAGACAGAAAGGUAGACUGAUUAAGAAGGAUUGGCUCCUGUGGUUGUAGAGGCUGAGAAGUCCUAUGAUCUGCCAUGUGCAAACUGCAGGCCCAGGAGAGCUGCUGGUGUAGCUCCAGCUCAGAGCUGAAUGCCAGAGCUUCAAGGGGUUCAAUGGUGUAAGGCCCUCUGAGUCAGAAGGCCCAAGAGCCAGGAGCACCAAAGUAUGAGAACAAAAGCUGGAUGUCUCAGCUCAGGAAGAGAGCAGAUUCGCCUUUCCUCCACCUUUUUGUUCUAGACAAGCCUUAAUGUCCUGGUAAAUGCCCACCUAGACCGGUAGGGGCCACCCUCUUUACUGGGUCUCCUAUUCUCUUCCAGAAACAGCCUCACAGACACACCUAGAAAUAAUGUUUAACCAGCUCUCUGGGCAUCACUUAGCCCAGUCACAUCAGCUCAUAAGAUUAACCAUCACAGAUGGAUAUUGUCAUCUGUAAGUAAUAAUAGCCCUAUGUAAUUGCCUCUGGAAUCCCUUUCUGAUAUUUUCCCUUUUGCUUUUCUGGUAAUUUUCAAAUUACUAUUUCAUAUGACCUUUUCUACUUCUGAUGAUAUUUUGGUCCUUACAAUUUCAAUCACAUCCUAUAAUUACCAGAUACCUUGGACCAACACCAAAUUUCCCAAUCAUUUUCUUUUCCUGCCAUAUAACAAGGUUCAGACACAACCUACCAAUUCUCUUAAGAUAAUAUUUAUACCUUUGAGCUGUUUCCAAUACCAAAAUCCAUGUGCAUGGGAUAUGUCAACACAAAUAGCUCUUGCCUGGUACCCUCUCAUUACCAUGAGUGGCAGAAGGAGCUGAUGGAAGGAAUACCGGGCAAAGAGUCAGCAAAUCUAAGUUCUAAAUCUAAGUUGUACGUACAGCUCUCUUAAGGCAUGGAAACUUGUUUGCCUUCGGUUUCCUUAGCCACAAAAUGAAAUGGAGAUAAUAUUAUCUAUUCUUAGGACAUCCCCUAAAACCAGUUUCCCAUGUAAACUUGCAAAUAAGAGAUGCUAACGUGCUUGCACAUUUCCUUAAGCUUUUUAUUGGUUUUAGGAAACACUGAUUCCAAGGCCCUAAAGCAAAAGUUACAAACUGGUAACUUCAGGGACCACAUUGAGUCAGUAGAAGUGUUUUGUUUCUCCAGCAAUGUUGUUUUUUUAAAUUUAAGUCAGUUACUAAAACGUUUAAAAUUUGAGAGGCUUCACAUUAACAUUCUGGCUUCCUUUUGAAAAUCUGAAGAUUUGGCACCCAAGGUCCACAUUGCUGCUUGGUGACCACUUGCUGGAGCUUAGCAACAGUCGCCUCCUUUGAAGGGCAUCGGAGCACGAUAAUUCGCCACAGUCCACACCGUUCCCUAUUUUAUUACACCCAGCUGACUUGACUCACUUCUGUUACGGUGUGGUUGCUGAAGGCAUUUGAACUUGGCAAUUCCUGUCUUAAAGGCAUAUUGCGCAGCCCAUAGUUGACCCCCGACAUUGCAGCUCUCAGAAUGGUCCUAUUUACAAACAGUGCCAAAGAAGAAAACCCACAAUAUUAUUUGGGAAUCCACUGAGACACUGAGACAUUGGAACACCUCUCUUCUAUCCAGAAAACUUUCCUCACUGUAAAUAAGAAUAAAUGAGUUUCGAGCCGAAUGACAUCUUCUAGCUCAUUUGAGUCAAUCCCUUCAUAUAACAGACGAGCAAACUAAAGUACGAGACAGUGAAGAUGCUUGCUUAAAGCCCAGGAGAACCAGAACCAGGAGGCAGACCUAAAACCGCAACUGGACUCCCAGUGGAAAGCUUUCCAGGCCGCCACUCCUCAUUCUUCCCAGGGCAGUCAUAGAAAACAGUUGCUUUCUUUCCUUUGUGAAAAACAUAUUGAGCUUGGACUUAGGAUAAGAAGUGGUUUUUCUCUUGUUCUAGGCGUUGUACUCUCAGUAUUUCCCAACCUUAAAUACUAUGAAGAUUCUCUUUCGAACCCUGUGUUCAUUUCCUAGGGUUACCAAAACCAAGUGCCACACGUCAGGUAGCUUAGAACAACAGAAAUGUAUUCCUCCACAGUUCCGGUGGCUAGAACCAUGAAAUGAAGAUGUCGGCGGCGCUCCGAAGUCUCUCAGAGAGACUCCUUCCUAGCUUUUGGAGGCUCCUGGAAACCCUUGGCUUUCUGGUCUCCUAACCAGAUGUCCCUCCAGUCUGUGCCCCUGGGUUCACGUGGCCUUCUUUCCUGUAUCUGUCUCUGUCUUCUCUCCUCUCUUGCAUAAACACAGCAGUCAUUGGAUUGGGGGCCCACCCUAAUGCAAUAUGACCUCACUUGAGUUAAUUAGUUACAUCUGCAGAGACUUUAUUUCCAAGUCAGGUCACAUGCUGAGGUUCUAGAUGGACAGGGGAUGGGGGGAGGGUAAGGGCAACACUCUUCAAGCCUCUACAGACCCUCUCCAGAUUUUCUUAAAAUUGUAGCCCCAUCCACUGGGGCUGAUUAUCUCAUGACUCCUAUCUGCUCCAUGGGCCACUUCUAUAAACCAUCACAAGGCCAGCUUUGAAGAGAUAAUACAUGCAGCCUCCACUUCUUACUUGUGUUCGCACAGGUAACAGCUUUGUUCAUAAAAGUAAAACUCGUCUUUGGAUUUCUUCCAGUUUGCCAAAGCAGGUACUGAUGGAGGGCUUUCAUAAAAGUGAAGUUGCGUGAUGCACACUUUCGGAAAAGGGGGAGUGCUAUUCACUUUGCACCAUUUUGCCUUAAGCAAGGUUUCCUGUGAUCCAUCUGCUUUCAGAUGGGGGCGUGGGACUGUGUAUGCAAACCCUUAUGACUUUCAGGUUCUUCGGGUCUUUCCCUGCCUUUCUUACAGUGAGCAAUCAGAGACUGGCCAAUGCUUGGGCUUUUGUGUUGGGUGGGACCCAGGUUACCAGCGAUUUGGCUUUAAGGCUCUAGGGUCUCUCCACAUGGUUGCAAGACAGCUGUCUCAGCUAUGAGAACUGAAUCUUCACCCAGUCACUUCCAUGCACGGGAACGUUUUUCUGAAGGAGAAAAAACCUCUCCCAGAAGACCCCCCCCACCCCAUCCAGACCCAGUGUUCAAGACUGGGUCACAUGACAGUGUCCUAGCUCAGGGUCCUCAAACGUGUUUUUUUGAUCUUAGGAUCACUUGACACUCUUUAAAAUAUUGAAGACCCUAGAGAGCUUUUGUUUUUGAGUUCUAUCUGUCAAUGUUUACCAUAUUAGAUAUUAAAACAGACAUUUCUAAAAUAGUUAUUCAUUCAUUUAAAAAUGACCAUAAUAGGAGUUCCUGUCGGUUGUGGCUCAGUGGAAGCAAAUCUGACGAGAAUCCAUGAAGAUGCAGGUUCGAUCCCUGGCCUCCCUCAUUGGGUUAAGGAUCCAGGGUGGCCGUGAGCUGUGGUGUAAGUUGCAGAUGUGGCUCAGAUCAGGUGUUGCUGUGGGCUGUGGUGUAGGCUGGC
rnacentral:lncRNA from 1 species